AGGGUUUCUAUGGGGGGUAAUUGGGUUCUAUGGGGGGGUAAUAGGGUUCUAUGGGGGUAAAUGGGUUCUAUGGGGGGUAAUUGGGUUCUAUGGGGGGUAAAAUAGGGUCUAUGGGGUUGAAUUGGGUUCCUUAUGGGGUGUAAUUCGGUUUCUAUGGGGGUAAUAGGUUCUAUGGGGGGUAAUUAGGUCUAAUGGGGGUAAUAGGGUUCUAUGGGGGGUAAUUGUUCUAAUAGGGGGUAAUAGGGUUUCUAGUGUGUAAUAGGGUUCUAGGGGUAAAUGGUUCAUAUAU
rnacentral:lncRNA from 1 species